GCAAUUAUGGGUCAAAUAGUUCUUAGCAUCACUACAAAAUAUUUCUAAAACAUACUAAGAAAUUUAAUAAAAUAAUCACAUUAAAUAUUAUUUAGAAUGUUUUAGGCAUAUUUUGUAAUGAUAAGAAGAACUAUUUGACUCACAAUUAUAACUGUUACAAAAUAGUUCCAUCAUUAUUACAAAAUAGUUUGAUAAUCACUACUAUCUAAAUUAUAGUUGUGUCAUUUUAGUAUCCGACAACAAAAAAAAUUCACACAAUCAGAACACAUCAUAAUCACAACUCUAACAAAACAGAUCAAUCUGGCAGUAAAAAAAAUUCACUACUUCUCUCACGAUAUAUCCUAAAUUAAAAAGCAAACUAUGCUUGAUUCUUGCAAACCCCUUAUAGCCCCAUCUUAAACUCUCUAUAUUUAAGAAACUAGCAAGAAAAUUAGAAGACAACAUUAAUUGAAAAAUAUAAAUGAGAACCUCUCCAAUGUGGCUGUUAAAACUGGGGUGUACAUAAAUAGUACACGUGAUAGGUUGUUUGAUACAUUCUUCUAUGUCCUUUUACUCACCCUAGCCAUGUUAAAUUUUCUGUAAUCAGCUAUCUUGAGUAUUUCCUGCAUAAAAAACAAACGGUAACGAUAAGACUUUUACUAAACAGUAUAAAGAAUUACACUUACACACUGUGUCACAUGGCGUUUUGCAUUUACUCUUUGCCUUAAUGAAGCGAUAAUCUUUUUCCUUACAUAAGCCUUGUUACUUAGUAAAUCGAUAUGCCAUCGUAUAGCUAAAAGGGGAAACACUCAUUUUUUUUCUAUUCUUUUAGUAGUUUCAAUCAUUGGGUAGUGUUCAAACAUACAGUCAAUUAGUUUCUAUUCAAACCUGGACAACAACUGUUUGACUGCAUGAUUGAAUACUACCCCUCAGUUGCUGUUCAAACAUGGACAACAACUGAUUGACUGCACUGAAACUUCUAAAAAAAUUGGAGAAAAAUGAGUUUCCCUUUUAGCCGUACAAUGACAUAUUGAUUUACUAAGCAACAAGGUUGAUGUAAGGAGGAAGCGUUUUCAUUUUAGUAAAGUGUGGUCACUUGAGAAGUGAAUUAGUGACUUGAAAAUAUUUAAGUGUAGGUACUUGAAAUGUGAACUUUUGUGACUUGAACUAAUUACUUGAAUGUGAUUAAUUGUAUAGAUGGAACCUGAUUAUAGCUGGAUAUAUCAAUGAAAUAUUGAUAAUAGAAUGGGUGAGGCUGAGAAUGAGGAUGCGGAUGAUGAGUUGUAGUUUUUAGAUUAUCGCUUUAUUAGGACAAGGAGUAAAUGCAAAAUGACACGUGACACGGGAAUACUCAAGAUAGCUGAUUACAGAAAUUUAACAUGGCCAGGGUGAGUAAAAAGACUAUAGUAGAAUGCAUCAAACAACAACCUGUCACGCGUACUAUUUAUGUCUCUCCUAUUUUAACAACCUGUGCUAUAAGGGAUUUGCAAAAAUCAGGUGAGUCUCAUUCCUUCGUGAGGGAAGUAGUGAUUUUUUUUGCUGCUGGAUUGAUCUGUUUUGUUAGAGCUGUGAUUGUGAUAUGUUCUAUUCAUGGUUGUGUGUUGAUGAA